UACGUAGGGUGCGAGCGUUGUCCGGAAUUACUGGGCGUAAAGCGUGCGCAGGCGGUCUGUUAAGACCGAUGUGAAAUCCCCGGGCUUAACCUGGGAACUGCAUUGGUGACUGGCAGGCUUUGAGUGUGGCAGAGGGAGGUAGAAUUCCACGUGUAGCAGUGAAAUGCGUUGAUAUCGUUCGGAACACCAAUAGCGAAGGCAGGCUUCUGGGUGCCACCUGACACUGCUAGGACGAAAGCGUGGGGAGCGAAUGGG
rnacentral:rRNA from 1 species